GAUGAACGCUGGCGGCAUGCCUUACACAUGCAAGUCGAACGGCAGCACGGGAGCAAUCCUGGUGGCGAGUGGCGAACGGGUGAGUAAUAUAUCGGAACGUGCCCAGUCGUGGGGGAUAACGUAGCGAAAGCUACGCUAAUACCGCAUACGAUCUAUGGAUGAAAGCGGGGGAUCGCAAGACCUCGCGCGAUUGGGAGCGGCCGAUAUCAGAUUAGGUAGUUGGUGAGGUAAAGGCUCACCAAGCCGACGAUCUGUAGCUGGUCUGAGAGGACGACCAGCCACACUGGGACUGAGACACGGCCCAGACUCCUACGGGAGGCAGCAGUGGGGAAUUUUGGACAAUGGGCGAAAGCCUGAUCCAGCAAUGCCGCGUGAGUGAUGAAGG
rnacentral:rRNA from 1 species